rnacentral:rRNA from 1 species
AGUGAACGCUGGCGGUAGGCCUAACACAUGCAAGUCGAACGGCAGCACAGUAAGAGCUUGCUCUUACGGGUGGCGAGUGGCGGACGGGUGAGGAAUACAUCGGAAUCUACUUUUUCGUGGGGGAUAACGUAGGGAAACUUACGCUAAUACCGCAUACGACCUACGGGUGAAAGCAGGGGAUCUUCGGACCUUGCGCGAUUGAAUGAGCCGAUGUCGGAUUAGCUAGUUGGCGGGGUAAAGGCCCACCAAGGCGACGAUCCGUAGCUGGUCUGAGAGGAUGAUCAGCCACACUGGAACUGAGACACGGUCCAGACUCCUACGGGAGGCAGCAGUGGGGAAUAUUGGACAAUGGGCGCAAGCCUGAUCCAGCCAUACCGCGUGGGUGAAGAAGGCCUUCGGGUUGUAAGCCCUUUUGUUGGGAAAGAAAAGCAGCAGGUUAAUACCCCGCUGUUCUGACGGUACCCAAAGAAUAAGCACCGGCUAACUUCG